GCUCGCGGUUGGGCUUUAUUGAGGUCUUUUUAAUGUGGUAGAUAACAUACUUGACCGGUAUGCAGGAGUCUGCCAUGCCAAGUAGGCCCUUCAAACUCCAGCCACUGUGACGACUAACUAUGGGAGAAAACUUGAAAGGAAUGAUGUAACAAUAUGACGCAGCCUGGGAGAGUAUACAGGCAUCCCUGCAGCACGGGGAGAAAUGUAAUGCAUGCACGGAUGAAGACCUCUUUGUCAGCUGCAACCAGCUAAGAGCCUGCUUAUAGUAAAGAGAAGCAGCUUGUAACUGAAAGGAGAGAAAUGGCAAUAAUGUUCAUUUAACUCUGAGGAAGGGAACUGGACAAAGGAGGUUGCAAGACUGGAGUAUCAAGUUCUUCCCACAAAAGGGGGGGUUUCAUGUUGGUGUACUUUUUCUCCACCUAGUGGUCAUGGUUGGGUGAAGCAGGUUUUAGUUUCAUCUUAGUGUAGCAUUAAUUUAAUUAAACUGAACGUGUUGCCACCUUGUGCUGAUGUAAGAGCAGAAAGGGCUGCUUGAAUGUGCAUUUGUCUUCAGUUAUUAAUACAAAUAAAGGCCUAGUGUUGCAG